GGACUGUUGGUCUAGUGGUAUGAUUCUCGCUUAGGGUGCGAGAGGUCCCGUGUUCGAUCCACGGAUAGUCCC
rnacentral:tRNA from 1 species